CAUAUUGGAAAUAAUUGCCUAAAUGGUUGUUGGAUUAAAACUCCCGUUUUAAUCCAACAACCAUUUAGGCAAUUAUUUCCAAUAUG